UACGAAGGGGGCUAGCGUUGCUCGGAAUUACUGGGCGUAAAGCGCACGUAGGCGGCUUUCUAAGUCGGGUGUGAAAUCCUGGAGCUCAACUCCAGAACUGCCUUCGAUACUGGCGAUCUCGAGUUCGGGAGAGGUGAGUGGAACUGCGAGUGUAGAGGUGAAAUUCGUAGAUAUUCGCAAGAACACCAGUGGCGAAGGCGGCUCACUGGCCCGAUACUGACGCUGAGGUGCGAAAGCGUGGGGAGCAAACAGG
rnacentral:rRNA from 1 species